rnacentral:rRNA from 1 species
AGCGACUAGCGUGAAUCAUCGAAUCUUUGAACGCACUUUGCACUGCCCGGAAUCCCGGACAGUAUAUCUGUUUGAGUAAUACCUUCAAAUCUUUUACCAAAGUAGUUAGCUACUAGCAGUAGAAGAAAUUGGAAACUUGUACAGUUGUGCAUUUUCUUUAAUGGAUAGCGCCAAGUAUAGAGUGGUCCGAAAGGAACCUCUGUGAAUGGUUGGUAACACCAAAUAAGGAGCAAUCCUUGUAUGCUAUUCUCAAAUCAGAUAAGACUACCCGCUGAACUUAAGCAUAUCAAUAAGCGGAGG